rnacentral:rRNA from 1 species
AGAGUUUGAUCCUGGCUCAGGAUGAACGCUAGCGGGGGGCUUAACACAUGCAAGUCGAGGGGUAAUCCCGAUUUAUCGGGAACGACCGGCGCACGGGUGAGUAACGCGUAUGCAACCUACCUUUUACAGAGGAAUAGCCCAGAGAAAUUUGGAUUAAUACCUCAUAGCACUGUCAAUUCGCAUGAUUUGACAGUUAAAGUUUCGGCGGUAAAAGAUGGGCAUGCGUGACAUUAGAUAGUUGGCGGGGUAACGGCCCACCAAGUCAGCGAUGUCUAGGGGUUCUGAGAGGAUGAUCCCCCACACUGGUACUGAGACACGGACCAGACUCCUACGGGAGGCAGCAGUGAGGAAUAUUGGUCAAUGGACGCAAGUCUGAACCAGCCAUCCCGCGUGAAGGAUGACGGUCCUAUGGAUUGUAAACUUCUUUUAUGUACCAAGAAUGCGCCCUACGUGUAGGGUUUUGACGGUAGUACAUGAAUAAGCAUCGGCUAACUCCAUGCCAGCAGCCGCGGUAAUACGGAGGAUGCGAGCGUUAUCCGGAUUCAUUGGGUUUAAAGGGUGCGUAGGCGGCUUAUUAAGUCAGUGGUGAAAUCCUGCGGCUCAACCGUAGAACUGCCAUUGAAACUGAUAAGCUUGAAUAUAGUUGAGGUAGGCGGAAUGAGUAGUGUAGCGGUGAAAUGCUUAGAGAUUACUCAGAACACCGAUUGCGAAGGCAGCUUACUAAACUAAUAUUGACGCUGAGGCACGAAAGCGUGGGGAGCGAACAGGAUUAGAUACCCUGGUAGUCCACGCCGUAAACGAUGUUCACUCGCUGCUUGCGAUACAUAGUAAGUGGCCAAGCGAAAGCAUUAAGUGAACCGCCUGGGGAGUACGUCGGCAACGGUGAAACUCAAAGGAAUUGACGGGGGCCCGCACAAGCGGAGGAACAUGUGGUUUAAUUCGAUGAUACGCGAGGAACCUUACCUGGGCUUAAAUGUAGAUUGCAUGUGGUGGAAACACCCUUCUCUUCGGAGCUAUCUACAAGGUGCUGCAUGGUUGUCGUCAGCUCGUGCCGUGAGGUGUCGGGUUAAGUCCCAUAACGAGCGCAACCCCUAUCGUUAGUUGCCAUCAGGUUAAGCUGGGGACUCUAACGAGACUGCCACCGUAAGGUGAGAGGAAGGUGGGGAUGACGUCAAAUCAGCACGGCCCUUAUGUCCAGGGCUACACACGUGUUACAAUGGCAGGUACAAAGGGCAGCUACACCGCGAGGUGAUGCUAAUCUCGAAAGCCUGUCUCAGUUCGGAUCGGAGUCUGCAACUCGACUCCGUGAAGUUGGAUUCGCUAGUAAUCGCGUAUCAGCAAUGACGCGGUGAAUACGUUCCCGGGCCUUGUACACACCGCCCGUCAAACCAUGGAAGCUGGGGGGACCUGAAGUCUGUCACCGUAAGGAGCGGCCUAGGGUAAAACCGGUAACUGGGGUUAAGUC